rnacentral:rRNA from 1 species
AGCGAACGCUGGCGGCAGGCCUAACACAUGCAAGUCGAACGAACCUUUCGGGGUUAGUGGCGGACGGGUGAGUAACACGUGGGAACGUGCCUUUAGGUUCGGAAUAACUCAGGGAAACUUGUGCUAAUACCGAAUGUGCCCUUCGGGGGAAAGAUUUAUCGCCUUUCGAGCGGCCCGCGUCUGAUUAGCUAGUUGGUUGAGGUAAUGGCUCACCAAGGCGACGAUCAGUAGCUGGUCUGAGAGGAUGAUCAGCCACAUUGGGACUGAGACACGGCCCAAACUCCUACGGGAGGCAGCAGUGGGGAAUCUUGCGCAAUGGGCGAAAGCCUGACGCAGCCAUGCCGCGUGAAUGAUGAAGGUCUUAGGAUUGUAAAAUUCUUUCACCGGGGACGAUAAUGACGGUACCAGGAGAAGAAGCCCCGGCGAACUUCGU